CACUGCUCGUGUGGGGGUGUGCUGGGGAGAGCUGCUCUGCUGUGUCCACUGUGUGCAUGUGAACACCCCCUGCAGACAGGAGUGCAGCUCACAGCUGGGAGAGCUGCUCUGCUGUGUCCACUGUGUGCAUGUGAACACCCCCUGCAGACAGGAGUGCAGCUCAGAGCUGGGAGAGCUGCUCUGCUGUGUCCACUGUGUGCAUGUGAGCACCCCCCUGCAGACAGGAGUGCAGCUCAGAGCUGGGAGAGCUGCUCUGCUUUCCCUGGGGGUGGAGAGCCAGGCUUGCCUUCAUCACCCCCAUGGAAACAGCUUUGUUCCACCACCAGAAACCUGACCUGGCUUCCCAGCUCUGAGGAUGGCUAUGGCUUGGGGGGUAUCACUUCUAAAAUGUGAGUUUUGGAUGACAUGAAAGCGCUGGUGGGACCGUUUAUUCCCUGGGUGCAGACUGUGCAAAAAGCCAGCCCUUUGGAAUGCUGUCCCAGCACCUCAUUGCUCCUGGGGAUCAGAAACCUCCUCUGCCUUGCCAGGGAUGUUUGUGGGUGAUUAACACAACUCACAGAUGGGGUCAACUGUCAGGAUUGCCAAUUCCAUCACUCCUAAAAUCAGGGUCACUCAGGGUUUAGGAAGCUGAGGAGGUGUGAGCAGCAUCAGUCCCUCUGUUCAGGAUGUGGCCUGUGAGCAGUGGGGUUGUUUAUGAAGGGUCUCUCUUGCUCUCAGGUUUUCUUUGGUACUGCUGCUGUGAGGGAGGUUCUUGGAUCCUGGGGGAGUAGAUGACUUGCAUUUCAGUGGGUUUGCAAGCAUAAAAUUGUAUUGAAAUUGUUGGGUUUUUUUAAUCUGCUGCUACUUGGUAAUUGUGUUCCUUCUGUCUUCAGCAUGGAAAGCAUCCCAGAAAUGACAUCCUAAUGUUUGUUGGCACUUGAGCAGUAGAACUGCUCAGUCAGGAGCACUCCCCUAUCAGCACUGUGUUUUUAAUACCCAGCUAACAGUUGAAAAGCAGGGAUGCAGUAUUCCAUGGUCCUGGGGAGCACAGGAAGGGGCAGCAGGGCUGCAGUGACACGAGAGGUUCAGGGCAGGGUUUUUUAAAAAACCAGGAAAUACUGAGGUGAUCUGUUUUGUGAUAUGAUUAAGGAGAGUGCUGCUCGGGAGGAUCAACACAUCAGAUAAAUUUAAAGCUAAAUCUCAAAUAAGUGUUGGGAAAUACAUUCAGGAGAAAAUGAAAAACUACUUGGAAAGCUUUUUUAGUUAUUGGAAUCUUGUACUCACCCCCUCCAUUUCAAAGGAAAAUUUUGACUUAAAAGCUUUUCCAACUCUUUUCAAGUUGAGACAGAAGGAAAGGAGUCCAAUGCUGACUAAAAACUCCUUCUGUGCAGCUUGAGCUACAUGGAAAAAUAAAUACAGGGAAAGGGAACACGCGGAGCAGGAACAUUUCUCCUGGUUUAGUCACCAGAGCUGUGUGUGGAGCUCCUCACACUGCUCAGUGUGCUCAGGAUGGCUCAGGGCUGCUGAGUGCAGUGCUGGGUGCAGCCUGGCAGCUUAGGAGAGCACUGCAAGGGUUGAAUUGUUGGGGGUUGUGCUGUCAGACACAGCUGAGGUGUGCUGGGUCUGUUGAGUUGUUGGGGGUUGUGCUGUCAGACACAGCUGAGGUGUGCUGGGUCUGUUGAGUUGUUGGGGGUUGUGCUGUGCAGAGCUGAGGUGUGCUGGGUCUGUUGCAUUGUUGGGGGUUGUGCUGUGCAGAGCUGAGGUGUGCUGGGUCUGUUGAAUUGUUGGGGGUUGUGCUGUGCAGAGCUGAGGUGUGCUGGGUGUGUUGAGUUGUUGGGGGUUGUGCUGUGCAGAGCUGAGGUGUGCUGGGUCUGUUGAAUUGUUGGGGGUUGUGCUGUCAGACACAGCUGAGGUGUGCUGGGUCUGUUGAAUUGUUGGGGGUUGUGCUGUCAGACACAGCUGAGGUGUGCUGGGUCUGUUGCAUUGUUGGGGGUUGUGCUGUCAGACACAGCUGAGGUGUGCUGGGUCUGUUGCAUUGUUGGGGGUUGUGCUGUGCAGAGCUGAGGUGUGCUGGGUCUGUUCCCCGGCCUGUGCCCCAUGUGACGUGGGCACUGAUGCUCCUCUGCAUUGGCACUUGGGGCAGUUGGUUUGGUGUCCCAUUCCAUGUCCUGAUUUCUGCUCUCCC